UGCAACAUCAGUUCCUGUGUGAUCACUGAAGUUAAGCAACAUCAAUCCUGGUCAGUACUUAGAUGGAUGACUGUUUGGGAAUACCAGGUGCUG